ensembl:snoRNA
CCCUCCUACAAAGACGUGUCAGUGGUUUCCUGUCCUUGGACACGUAAGAAGUGGAGGGAAAAAGAUGUGGACUUGGAGAAGUCUGGAGCCCGCUUGCUCCCUGCAGGCUCAAGAUCAUCCUUUCCCACACAG